rnacentral:rRNA from 1 species
AUUGAACGCUGGCGGAAUGCUUUACACAUGCAAGUCGAACGGCAGCACGGACUUCGGUCUGGUGGCGAGUGGCGAACGGGUGAGUAAUGUAUCGGAACGUGCCCAGUCGUGGGGGAUAACGUAGUGAAAAUUACGCUAAUACCGCAUACGAUCUAUGGAUGAAAGCGGGGGAUCGCAAGACCUCGCGCGAUCGGAGCGGCCGAUAUCAGAUUAGGUAGUUGGUGGGGUAAAGGCCCACCAAGCCAACGAUCUGUAGCUGGUCUGAGAGGACGACGAGCCACACUGGAACUGAGACAAGGUCCAGACUCCUACGGGAGGCAGCAGUGGGGAAUUUUGGACAAUGGGCGAAAGCCUGAUCCAGCCAUUCCGCGUGCAGGAUGAAGGCCCUCGGGGUGUAAACUGCUUUUGUACAGAACGAAAAGGUUUCUACUAAUACUAGGAGCUCAUGACGGUACUGUAAGAAUAAGCACCGGCUAACUACGUGCCAGCCGCCGCAGUAA